rnacentral:rRNA from 1 species
GACGAACGCUGGCGGCGUGCUUAACACAUGCAAGUCGAACGGAAAGGCCCUGCUUUUGUGGGGUGCUCGAGUGGCGAACGGGUGAGUAACACGUGAGUAACCUGCCCUUGACUUUGGGAUAACUUCAGGAAACUGGGGCUAAUACCGGAUAGGAGCUCCUGCUGCAUGGUGGGGGUUGGAAAGUUUCGGCGGUUGGGGAUGGACUCGCGGCUUAUCAGCUUGUUGGUGGGGUAGUGGCUUACCAAGGCUUUGACGGGUAGCCGGCCUGAGAGGGUGACCGGCCACAUUGGGACUGAGGUACGGCCCAGACUCCUACGGGAGGCAGCAGUGGGAAAUAUUGCACAAUGGGCGGAAGCCUGAUACAGCAGCGCCGCGUGCGGGAUGACGGCCUUCGGGUUGUAAACCGCUUUCGCCUGUGACGAAGCGUGAGUGACGGUAAUGAGUAAAGAAGCACCGGCUAACUACGUG